CCGCCCGUCCACAGCAUGAAAGCUGUUUGUACCCGAAACCAUUUUAGCCAACCUGCAAGGGAGGCGGAUGUCUAAGGUAUGAAUGGUGAUUGGGCUG
rnacentral:rRNA from 1 species